UACGGAGGAUCCGAGCGUUAUCCGGAUUUAUUGGGUUUAAAGGGUGCGUAGGCGGCCUGGUAAGUCAGGGGUGAAAGACGGUAGCUUAACUAUCGCAGUGCCUUUGAUACUGCCGGGCUUGAAUGUACUUGAGGUAGGCGGAAUGUGACAAGUAGCGGUGAAAUGCAUAGAUAUGUCACAGAACACCAAUUGCGAAGGCAGCUUACUAAGGUAUGAUUGACGCUGAGGCACGAAAGCGUGGGGAUCAAACAGG
rnacentral:rRNA from 1 species